rnacentral:rRNA from 1 species
CAGCGCCUGACACAUGCAAGUCGAGCGCCCCGCAAGGGGAGCAACAGACGGGUGAGUAACGCGUGGGAACCUACCCUUUCCUGCGGAAUAGCUCCGGGAAACUGGAAUUAAUACCGCAUACGCCCUUUGGGGGAAAGAUUUAUCGGCGAGAGAUGAGCCCGCGUCGGAUUAGCUAGUUGGUGGGGUAAAGGCCUACCAAGGCGACGAUCCGUAGCUGGUCUGAGAGGAUGAUCAGCCACACUGGGACUGAGACACGGCCCAGACUCCUACGGGAGGCAGCAGUGGGGAAUAUUGGACAAUGGGGGCAACCCUGAUCCAGCCAUGCCGCGUGAGUGAUGAAGGCCCUAGGGUUGUAAAGCUCUUUCACCGGUGAAGAUAAUGACGGUAACCGGAGAAGAAGCCCCGGCUAACUUCGUGCCAGCAGCCGCGGUAAU